rnacentral:rRNA from 1 species
UCGAGAAUUUUUCUCAAUGGGCGAAAGCCUGAAGGAGCGACGCCGCGUGGGGGAUGAAUGGCUUCGGCCCGUAAACCCCUGUCAUUUGUGAACAAAUUGUUUCACCUAACACGUGAAGCAUUGAUAGUAACGGAAGAGGAAGGGACGGCUAACUCUGUGCCAGCAGCCGCGGUAAUACAGAGGUCCCAAGCGUUGUUCGGAUUCACUGGGCGUAAAGGGUGCGUAGGCGGUCGGGUAAGUCUGACGUGAAAUCUCCGGGCCUAACCCGGAAACUGCGUCGGAUACUAUCCGGCUAGAGGAUUGGAAGGGAGACUGGAAUACUUGGUGUAGCAGUGAAAUGCGUAGAUAUCAAGUGGAACACCAGUGGCGAAGGCGAGUCUCUGGACAAUUCCUGACGCUGAGGCACGAAAGCCAGGGGAGCAAACGG